CUCGAGCUCUGGAACCCAACAAGAGAUCAAAUCCGCGACGAAACUGUGUUCAACAAAUAAACCUUUUCUCCGCCAUUUCUCUGCGCUCGAGCUCUGGAACCCAACAAGAGAUCAGAUCCGUGACGAAAUCCGCUCAGCAGAGAGGCCCAUCGACAGAUCAAUUAGGAUCUACGCUCGAUCUUCGGUUCCCAGCAAAUUUCCUGCUCAGUCGAAAUCCUUGUAAGUUGUAUUCCCCUUCAUUCAUUUUCGUUUUUCUGUUUUAAGAUUUGGUUUAUGGGAUCUACCUAUUUUCUACGAUUUGAGGUUCGGAUUGGUUGCUGAGCUGACGUAGAUUUUGUUUCUUUUACCUCAAUUUGGUUGAAAUUUGGUGCUUAGGGUUUUUAUUCAUGUGAAUCGGUUCCUUUUUAGUGAGGAUAAUCAGAAAUGAAGAACUUUUAGUAGCUUUGUUUACAGUACAAAAUUGGCUCCUGGAUAAGUUCCUGAGGACAAAAUUUGUUUACAGUAACUUUUAGCAAGUAUUUUCCAUCUAAAUUCAAUGUAACGUUUAGCAAGUAUUUUCCAUCUAAAUUGGCUUCUUUCUUUCU